rnacentral:rRNA from 1 species
AUUCGAAAGGGAUUGGAUUCAAGUCGCCCGGUGUUCCAGGCCGCCUUACCUUGCCAGAUGGUGCCGGUCGCCCACGGUGAUUCAUUUCGCUUGUGGUGUCGUUCCCGGCGAUCACUCGGUGGGGUGGUGUUGCUCUGCCACCGGAUGGGUGCACUUCCUCCCUAGUAGAAACGUCGCGACCCGUUGGGUGCCGGUCAAAGGCCCGGGAUGGCAGCCCGCGUGUCCUGUGGAUUUUCUACAGGCAUGUGGACUCCUGGUGACCCGGCCGGCUGCCCGACGGUAUGACCAGAGGAGUCGAUCCGCUGAAAGUGAAACACUGUGGUUGUGAAGCGUCCGGCCCGGCUCCGAUGCGUGCGGGUAUUGUGGUGCAAACCGGGGGUGUCCGUGCGAACCACGGACCCGGUCCCGCUACGUUGUUGGGGUCGGUGACCUCGGACUGGAUCAGUACUCCCGUCGGCGACGCCCACCUUCGGAUGGUCUCCCGC